CACCUAACUAAACUACAGCAGCCCUUCUACCCUCAGGGCCCAAACAUCCUGGGUAAAAGUUAGGCUAGCAGUGCCUUCUUCAAAGCAAAAGUUUGGGAGCACUUCAUCUUUCAGGAGGUAUCCUCCCUUCUUACUGCCUGCAGGGUGGGAAUCUUCAGCAUACCCUCUCAAAGAAUGUACAGAGCAGGCCAGAUUUAGCUAAGAAAGAGAAUCCUAGAGAUUAUGCCAUCCUGGAACCAGCAUCCAGCUGCGAUUUCCCUCACAAAAGCUAUCUUGCCAGCCAGCAAGCCAGCAAGAUGUCAGCUCAUCAUGGUGUUCACAGGAAGUCAGCUAUUUCCAGGCCUGUUCCUGAGUAAGAAUAGAAUGAUGCUCAGAUGCUCUGAAUGCUUUCGAUUUCAAUACACAUGUGUUGAUAUGAGAGUCCAAGUUUGCCCAAAAUUGUAAAAGUUGUUGAUUUAAAGGCCUUAAAUUCCAGCUAUAUGGGAGCUGGUUGUGUUUCCUCAAUAUGGAAGAAAAUGCACUCUGGGCAUGCUUGGAGACAUAUUCUUUCUUGUGAUGUAUGCCAAGCCUGAGCCCACUUCAAAUUAAGUUCUGAUUGAAACACCUGAACAUAGAAUGGAUGGGUAGUAGCUGCAUUGUGAAACAAUGAAGCAACUGGACUUCUAAUGUGCAGCUUUUGGUUUACAGACAUCAGUUGUAAUAAUUUCAAGAAAUUGCCUUUGACUUUGCCAUGUGGCAUUGUGUUAUAUGGCUGGUUGCCCUGCAGCACUUAUUAAGAUGGUAGAGAUGGCUAUGGAUGACUGGCCCUUGUCAGUAUGAAAGUUACUCUCUGGAACAAUAGUUUUCAAUGAAGCAAUAAGUAGUUGAGUGAAUACCAUUUUAGUCUUCUUAUUCAGCCAUGAUUAAUAAAAAAAACUAGAGAAUUUGAAAGGAAAAUGGUGUUUGGAGUGCACUGUGGUGGGAACAUACAGCUUGUCUAAAAUUCCUUAAACCAAAAUGGUCUUUUUUCAGAUUGUGUGGCAGCUGCACAGCCCUAAUAAAUCAAUCUUGAUGAAUCAGA